UAAGAUUUCCUCAGCUCAACAGUUCUUUGGUUCCCUAUUACUGCUUCUCCGUUUGACUUCUGUGCAGGCGAGAUCCCAGAGAGCACUCAGAGCCACACUUAUGUGUUAGCAACAGCUUCUACUUGUGUCAGUUCUCUGUUUUAUUUUUGUGUGUGUUGCAGUGCAGCAAAAAUUGCUGGCACGAUCAAAAGACUCUAAAGUAGCGUUUUAAAUAUGAAAUACUGUCAACACCACCAAUUUUACCUCUACUGCUAAAUCAACAUGUUCAGAAUGUGCAAAUCUAGCCCUGGGCAGAACGCAUACCUCAAGGUAUUGGAUUUCCACAGCUAAGUGGACACUCUGCCUCGUGAGAGGCAGGAGGGUUUUCCAGGCACCAAAGCCUGAGCCGACCUGCUGUUACAGACCCAGAGAAAAGCCCGUGCUGACCGCGGAUUACGAAGUCAGGGCUGCAGAUGACGCUCCAUCCACUAGAUGGAGGCAGAGGAGCACAGAAAAAAACCGACUUGGGCUGUUAAUCAAGUUGACCGCGUAGACGCUAAGGGGGAAGCUGAUCUGUCAUUAGAUUGGUGAUGGAAACUCUCCUGUGGGCUUCAUGAAGUCAGUAGCCAUGUUGGAGAAGCCCAUCUUGCAAGUGGCCUCUGGAAGUGACAGAUAGCCUUCAGGACCUGAGGGUGACCUCCAGCCAAUAGCAGCAAAAAGCCAGGGCCCUCACUGAUACAGCCAGAAGGAAGUGAAUCCUGUCAACAACGUGAAUGAAUUUGGAAGCAGAUUCUGCCCCAGCUGAGCUUCCAGAUGAACGUGUAGCCCAGCCAACAGAUUGAUUUCAGCCUUGUAAGACCCCAAGCAGAGGACCCAGCUGAGCUGUGCCCAGACUCCUGAGCCACCGAAACCAUGAAAUAAUAUACGUGUGUUGUUUUAAGCAGCCAAGUUUGUUUUAACUUGUAUACGGCAAAAGAAAACUCCUGCAGGCAGUUUGGGAAUUGCAGAAGAGAUGGAGAUGGAGCUGCUCAGCCCGUGCUUGUCGGGGAAAGAGUUCCUGACUGUCAGUUUACCUUAUUUCACAGCUGGAAAAAAUGAAGAAAAACCAGUUGAAACCCAUUUCUCUUUAUCCAGUGGUCAGUGGGAAAGAUAGGAAGAGAAUGUAUUCUUCUGGCGUCCGCUGGGCUUCCCUCCAGCCCUUCCUAAGGCCACCAAUUGGAAUUGAAACUCAUGGAAAGGGACUUUGCUUCAUUACUGCUCCCAGCAGUGCUCUGACAGAGGCUUCUUGCGGGCUUCUUGAGCUUCCCUUUUCUUUCAGACAGAAUCCCAGAGAGGUUCCACCUGUCUAAAAUCAUAGUAAAGAUUCAGGGAAAUAGCUGGGCCUGGAUGAAUAACGCUCAUUAUGCGUAGCAGUUAACUUAUUAAAAUUGUGUGGGCCAGCCCCGUGGCCGAGUGGUUAAGUUCGUGCGCUCCGCUGCAGGCGGCCCAGUGUUUCAUUGGUUCGAAUCCUGGGCGUGGACAUGGCACUGCUCAUCAAACCACACUGAGGCAGUGUCCCACAUGCCACAACUAGAAGGACCCACAACGAAGAAUAUACAACUAUG
rnacentral:lncRNA from 1 species